rnacentral:tRNA from 1 species
AGGAUAAUAGUUUAUAUAAAAUAUUUAAUUUGCAAUUAAAAAAAAAUGUUUAACAUUUUAUCUUA